rnacentral:tRNA from 23 species
GUGUCAUUAGCUCAGUUGGUAGAGCAUCUGACUUUUAAUCAGAGGGUCGCAGGUUCGAAUCCUGCAUGACACACCA